rnacentral:rRNA from 1 species
CGUAGGUGGCUGUUCAAGUCUGCGGUCAAAGGUCGAGGCUCAACCUCGAACAGGCCGUGGAAACUGAAAAGCUAGAGUGUGGUAAGGGCAGAGGGAAUUCCCAGUGUAGCGGUGAAAUGCGUAGAGAUUGGGAAGAACACCGGUGGCGAAAGCGCUCUGCUAGGCCAAAACUGACACUGAGGGACGAAAGCAAGGG